rnacentral:rRNA from 1 species
UACAGAGGUGGCAAGCGUUGUUCGGAAUUACUGGGCGUAAAGGGCGCGUAGGCGGUUCGAUAAGUCCCGUGUGAAAUCCCUCGGCUCAACUGAGGAACUGCACGGGAAACUGACGGGCUUGAGUUCGGGAGAGGGAAGCGGAAUUCCGGGUGUAGCGGUGAAAUGCGUAGAUAUCCGGAGGAACACCGGUGGCGAAGGCGGCUCCUGGACCGACACUGACGCUGAGGCGCGAAAGCUAGGGGAGCAAACGGG